rnacentral:rRNA from 1 species
AUCAAGGCUGAGGCGUGAUGACGAGGCACUACGGUGCUGAAGCAACAAAUGCCCUGCUUCCAGGAAAAGCCUCUAAGCAUCAGGUAACAUCAAAUCGUACCCCAAACCGACACAGGUGGUCAGGUAGAGAAUACCAAGGCGCUUGAGAGAACUCGGGUGAAGGAACUAGGCAAAAUGGUGCCGUAACUUCGGGAGAAGGCACGCUGAUAUGUAGGUGAAGCGACUUGCUCGUGGAGCUGAAAUCAGUCGAAGAUACCAGCUGGCUGCAACUGUUUAUUAAAAACACAGCACUGUGCAAACACGAAAGUGGACGUAUACGGUGUGACGCCUGCCCGGUGC